ACGCAGGUUCUUAGUUUUAGAAUAUCACACUAUUUAUUAAUAUCCCACUCUCUGAAUUUAAAUUUAUCACUCUAAGCGUGAUUGGAUUUUACACAUACAUAAUUCCUUUUUCUAACAAAGUAAGUGAUUGGACAUAUGUAUCCAGAAUCAACGUGUUUCAUUAAUUAACACUAUGAACAUUCUGCUGGCUCUUCUUACAUAUUCGAUUUAUUAGUUAGGUUGGUGAAAAAAUAUUGUUGAUUAUCAUGAAAAGAGGAUAGCAAACCUCCGUCAUGGAGUAAACUUGGCCAGAGAAAAAGGCUUUAUCAAAACAUCGCUUUUCUAGUUGGUUGCCCGAUUAAUAUUUAAUGAGCUAUGGAGCCAGCGAAACUCUUGAUGUCUAGUUCCGGUACAGGUGCAAUUAGUGAGUCUAUCAGUACUAUACCGUGGCAUGCACAUGUAGUACGGACUGCAGUGAUAGCUUCGUACUACAUACAUAGACUUCCAACAAUAUCAAGGAACCAAGUCUUGUGCAGCCAAAACACACAAAGUUGUUCUCGCUCGCUGCUGUGUUUUGCUUGACCAGACUCUGCUCUUUGUCCCACUCUUGGGCUGAGAUGAAAUUGCAAAUUAAUAGGGACCAGGUCUUGCACGUUGACCAACACCUCGUCGUGACACUCUGCUGGUGUGUGUAUCCCGUGGUUAGUGGUGAUUAAUAUCAGGCAAAAAAUCGAACAAGUGGAAGGUGAAAAGUGAGACAGGGGAAGUCACUAACGAACUCCGCAACUACUGGGAGCAGCAGGAGGAGAAAGUGAGAGGAGCUGCUCCAGGGCGAGAGCGACUGGCUGCUGCGUGGAUCGAGGUGGAUUUUCACCAGCAGCACCCGAUUCCGCUCUCGCUCUCUCUCCGCUGACUGGACAGACAAAGAGGAAAGUUGGGGCCGGAAAAAUUGCACUCCUUCCUCCACCACCGACGACCGAGAGUCAAGUUUUCAUUUACUUCUCCCCAAAUCUUUCAAUCUCAACGUUCCAAUCCAUCUAAACUGAACUGGACUUUUCAAUCCCAACUUUCCCCCAACCAACCCGACUGCUCUGUGAACUACCCCCACUCCAGUUUUCCUCUGCUCCUCCGCCCAGUCCAUUCCAGGGCAAUUAGUGAAGUGUGGAACUGGACAUCUCACCUCGCAAAAAGCAACCAAGACACAAGAGACAAACUUUCCCUUCUUUUUCUUCCUGCAUGCACACGUUUCUCCAGCUGCAUUCAUGCAUACACUUAACACGUUGAGAAUUUUGCAUCGAAACAUGUGGAACCUGUAUUAAAUACUUAUCUUUCUAGUGAACGAAUUUUGUCUCAAUUUGACUUUGACUACUCAACCCAUCUAUUCAUCCAGUCCAACGUGAUGAUCUUGGAUACAAUAACAUAUGCAUACUUAUCAAACACAGAAUUACACUAGAAAGCGAGAAUUUUUUUGGGAAGAUUCUUUAUUCUGGAGAGAAAACGUGUUUCACUUAAUGAGCUGGAAGGCUUCUGCCACGUAAUUGUCAACGAUACGGAGGGUCGAGCUGAUUGCAUGAUGGGGACAGAAUAAAAAAAGCCAGACUGUGAUUCGCUAAUUGUUCAGUGGAACAACUAUGGCUUUAUUACACGCAUUCAGAUAUAGUGGAACCCUAACAUGCUGGCUGCGAGUGAAUCGUGACUACUGGCAAUAAUAUUCUGCAAGCCGACCACGAUGUGACUUUUUCUCACAAAGUUCUUUAAAAACAACGACGAUAAUUGCCCAACAAUUACACUACAAACAGUAGUUUCUUGACCUUUGCUAAAAUUGGGCAUGUGAGACAGUACAACAACCCAAUUGAUGAGAUCUCUCUGCACAUUUCACCCAAUUAAAUCCACGCAAAAAUAAAAAUCUUUAGUAUAUUUGAGUAACAAUUUAUCGAAAAUAAUAUGUGAUGGUUACGUCUCAUCUCAACGAUUGUAAUAUUUCGUACCUGGCAAGUAAACGAGUAUAAGAAAUUAUUAAAUAUUGUUAUUAUCUGUGCAAUCUACGUUAUUUUCAAUAGUCUACAAAUGUGGGUGGGUAUAAAUUAUAAGGAGAAAUUAAAUUAAAAAAACAUAGUUGACUCAUAUCGGAAAUAGGCUUGAACGCAACCAGCAUCUUCAGCCAAAGGAAAUACGACGCCAGUUAAUACUACCAAGUAAGUGUUUCAAAAUAAGGCGUGCAAUUCUUCGAAUUUCUUUCAUACGAAAUGCAACAUUGGUGCUGAUAAUAUUCACUGGAAACUCCAGUUCUGGAAUAAAAGACAAACACAUUAAUCAAUCAAAUUUAAACAAAUAUCAACAAUAUCACCAUUAUUCAAAAUGAGGGCCCAUUAAAAUAGUCAUCAAAACCAACUGAUCAUCGCAAGAUAUUCCAAUUUAGCGUCGACGGUUCGGGACAUUUUCUGAGACACAUCAUUCACACAUCAUCAUCAUCAUCACCCCUCUGUUCAGCGUUACCCAUUAUCAUCUACUUCCACUUGGCAUUCAACAUUUCACCAAAAUGGCCAAGUAACAAGUAGCAUCAGAGCAUAUCUACUACAUCAUCAUCAUCAUUUAUGCCACAUUUAUACAAGAGUUACGACUUAACGGCAACCACAACCUGUUCUCCUUUCACAACCACCGACUCGCUUGGCAGUCAGCUUAUACGCAGUUUGUACUCGUGUUCAGCAACCCCCCUUCCGCGGAAAAUCCUUUACGCACACAUAAAGAAAACACACUCCCUCGCACCACCUCCGUGUAAUUAACUGAUGGGACGCUGACUAUCUGAGUAAGAAAAUAAUAAGUGCUAUUAAUAUUCAUACACGAGGCAUCCUUGUUUGAAUGCGUAUCUAAACGACGACAAGACGCGUCUAACGACAUGUUGGGAAGUAAACAAUACAUUUGAUGUCAUGUUUCUUGCGUCACAUUUCAUUCGCGUCAAUGUCAGAAACAGUGAAACUGAGGAAAGUGUCGUGGAAGGAAAGUUGUCAGUGCGGAAGGUUGUGUGCAAAUCCUUUUUGAUUCCACCGUCUCGCCCCAUGCUCCUCAACAGCGGCGUUGUUCCCGAGUGAAAGUUCCACCUUAUGUAGCACGUGCCACUGAGCCAGUCCUCUCUCACUUUCAUAACACAACAUUGCACGGAGAAAUUGCCAACAAGUGCGUGUCAGUCACAAGCACAUUACAAAAAUGUUGCCAACUAAUGUCGUGUCGUUUAUGAAGAAGAUGGUGUCCAACACGGAGGGGAUGAACAGCAAUCAGUUCAUGAGUUCGUCCAAUUCUUCCGGGGCAGGUGCGAUAGGGCGUCUUCGCCAAACUCUGCAGCAAGCCCACGAGUCCGUGUCCACCCGGCUGCAGAGUAGAACACCUCAGCAAGCAUCCGAUCUCCAAGGUGGCGACGGUCUCACGGACAACGUGCCCAAUGUUAACGUCUCCACGCCCGUCGAAGAGAAGGAAGCUGCGAGACCUGGAAGUGCUGGGAGAUGCCGCGUGUGUGUGAAAGCCAUGAAGCCGGAGGAGUACAGUAAAAGUGUAAUGUGUACGGAAUGCCACUUACUGGUUUGCGAUGACUGCAAUAGCUAUUCUAAUGCUGACGGAAA